CCAGCAUGUGCCAGGGUCCCCAGGGCUGAGAUUGGGAACAACUGCAUUCGUUCCUUAAAGGUGUUACUGGAGAUAUUCUGUAAAGUUUUGUGCCUAUCUUUCUGACAGGUACAGCAAAUGUUGAACCUUAGACUUACACCUAAUAUUCAGAAGUGGAAAAUCCAGAAAGUAUAGUCCUAUCCAGCAUCUUGUUCCAACCACCUGGAUUUGCUAAUUAGCAGGAUUUGUCAGCCAGAAUAGUCUGGAGACAUGGUUCAACGAGAAGAAAACUUCGCUGGAUUUUUUUGUUCUGGGGCUGUGUCUGUUUCUUCUUGACUUUCUUUGUUCCUAUUUUAAUGAAGUCAUGGCUUAGAUUUUCAUUCAAAUGUGAUUCAGAUUCUCAUAAUAUUGUCUGUUUAUCAUUGAACAAAUUUCACUGCAGUGUUGCCAUAGAAACAGA